rnacentral:rRNA from 1 species
GACGAACGCUGGCGGCAGGCCUAACACAUGCAAGUCGAACGGUAGCACAGAGAGCUUGCUCUCGGGUGACGAGUGGCGGACGGGUGAGUAAUGUCUGGGAAACUGCCUGAUGGAGGGGGAUAACUACUGGAAACGGUAGCUAAUACCGCAUAACGUCGCAAGACCAAAGUGGGGGACCUUCGGGCCUCAUGCCAUCAGAUGUGCCCAGAUGGGAUUAGCUGGUAGGUGAGGUAACGGCUCACCUAGGCGACGAUCCCUAGCUGGUCUGAGAGGAUGACCAGCCACACUGGAACUGAGACACGGUCCAGACUCCUACGGGAGGCAGCAGUGGGGAAUAUUGCACAAUGGGCGCAAGCCUGAUGCAGCCAUGCCGCGUGUAUGAAGAAGGCCUUCGGGUUGUAAAGUACUUUCAGCGAGGAGGAAGGCGAUAAGGUUAAUAACCUUGUCGAUUGACGUUACUCGCAGAAGAAGCACCGGCUAACUCCGUGCCAGCCGCCGCUGUAA